AUAGGCUUUAGCAUGACCAUCUCAUACAUUCUUGCAAUAUGAUAAAUCUUUCAAGGGUAAUGCUAUGAAUCAGCCACUUAAUACAGUCCCUUUAAUUUUACUGAUAUUGGAUUUAGACACAAGUCCCUUUUAUUUUACUGAUAUUGGAUUCAGACACACAGUCCUUUAAGAUUAACUGAUAUUGGAUUUAGACACACAGUCCCUUUUAUUUUACUGAUAUUGGAUUUAGACACACAGUCCCUUUAAAUUUACUAAUAUUGGAUUUAGACACACAGUCCCUUUUAUUUUACUGAUAUUGGAUUUAGACACACAGUCUCUGCAUCGACCCGCUGCCGGUCAAUCACCUGGUCAGUUCUAGUCAUCACUCUUCUCUGCCUAGCUAUCGGAACUACCUACGCUAUUACCAAGGAUUAUAUAGAUGGGACAGGAUAUACAAUAGAUAUCAGUUUCAUACAUCACAAACCUGAUGAUCUGGAAUAUCAUUAUGGAGUUCUUCUGCCAGAUAUUAUUCUUUGCGAUCCUAAUCCUUGGGACUUUAACAAGGAUACAUGUUAUGCUUAAUACUUUAUAACCUUAAAUAUAGGGUUAACCGGAAAUCUGGAAAUAGGAAGACGACCUUAAAGCGAUACCGAAGUGCAAUUGAUUGUUAUUGCAAAUACCUAAGCUAUGAAAACAGUUGAUAAGUGAAAUGGGUCUCUGUUCUCUGCACAAUUGCUGUGCCUCAUGUCCAUUAGACUAUUUAAAGUCUAAAAGUCGACUUUCUAUUCCAGAGUUUCUAGUUAUCACUUUAAGAACCAUAACUCAGCUCAAAAUGUUUCUGAGGGAAGAAAGAAGAGAUUCUUUCUCUUUCUCUUGAAAACACAAUUUCACAUGACCCUUCAAUUGUAAAGUGUCAUGUCCGAUUAACAACCCGACAACUUAAAGUCUUUGUCUGAUCAAUAAGGAAUGAGCUGAGUCAGAAUUUA